rnacentral:rRNA from 1 species
AGAGUUUGAUCCUGGCUCAGAAUCAACGCUGGCGGCGUGCCUCAGACAUGCAAGUCGAACGCGAAAGCCCCCUUCGGGGGGCAAGUAGAGUGGCGCACGGGUGAGUAACACGUAGGUAAUCUACCUUUGGAUGGGGAAUAACAACCGGAAACGGUUGCUAAUACCGCAUAAUGCAGCGGCACCUAAUGGUGACAGUUGUUAAAGCGGGGGAUCGCAAGACCUCGCGUCUGAAGAGGAGCCUGCGGCAGAUUAGCUAGUUGGUAGGGUAACGGCUUACCAAGGCGAUGAUCUGUAGCCGGCCUGAGAGGGCGGUCGGCCACACUGACACUGACAUACGGGUCAGACUCCUACGGGAGGCAGCAGUCGGGAAUUUUGGGCAAUGGGCGAAAGCCUGACCCAGCAACGCCGCGUGAAGGAUGAAAUCCCUCGGGAUGUAAACUUCGCAAGAACGGGAAGAAUAAGUAAGAGUUAAUAUCUCUUACGAUGACGGUACUGUUUGUAAGCUCCGGCUAACUCCGUGCCAGCAGCCGCGGUAAUACGGGGGGAGCAAGCGUUGUUCGGAUUUACUGGGCGUAAAGGGCGCGUAGGCGGCCACCGCAAGUCGACUGUGAAAUCUCCGGGCUUAACUCGGAAAGGUCAGCCGAUACUGCGGGGCUAGAGUGCAGAAGGGGCAACUGGAAUUCUCGGUGUAGCGGUGAAAUGCGUAGAUAUCGAGAGGAACACCUGCGGCGAAGGCGGGUUGCUGGGCUGACACUGACGCUGAGGCGCGAAAGCUAGGGGAGCGAACGGGAUUAGAUACCCCGGUAGUCCUAGCCUUAAACGAUGAAUGCUUGGUGUCUGGGGUUUUAUAGUCCCCGGGUGCCGUCGCUAACGCUUUAAGCAUUCCGCCUGGGGAGUACGGUCGCAAGACUGAAACUCAAAGGAAUUGACGGGGACCCGCACAAGCGGUGGAGCAUGUGGUUUAAUUCGACGCAACGCGAAGAACCUUACCUGGGCUUGACAUCUUGGGGAAAGGUCUCAGAAACGAGACCCCCUCUUCGGAGUCCCAAGACAGGUGCUGCAUGGCUGUCGUCAGCUCGUGUCGUGAGAUGUUGGGUUAAGUCCC